rnacentral:lncRNA from 1 species
GGCUGUGAGGAGUGUCGGGAUGAACUCCUUGUACCAAUGUGCUUGAGAGCCUUCCCUGCAUUCUUCACCUUCUUAAACAUCCUGCAAACAAAAGUUGGCAAAAACACAACUAGUGGAAAAUGUGAGAGAAAAUGUUAGUGGUCAGCUGUCCGGAAUAUCAGUAGUCCAGGGGUUAAUCGUUCAAGACAAGUUUCUAUUUUGG